AACCUUUACACUGCACGACAGUGCGAUAAGGGGACUCCGAGUGCGAGGGCAUACAGUCCUCGCUUUUCUGUACCGUAGGGUGGUACAGGAACAAGUGCUGGGCAAGACCGGUGCCAGCCGCCGCGGUAAUACCGGCAGCACGAGUGAUGGCCGAUAUUAUUGGGCCUAAAGCGUCCGUAGCUGGCCGGCCAAGUCCGUUGGGAAAUCCACCCGCUUAACGGGUGGGCGUCCAGCGGAAACUGUCCGGCUUGGAGCCGGAGGACCUGAGGGGUACGUCCGGGGUAGGAGUGAAAUCCUGUAAUCCUGGACGGACCGCCGGUGGCGAAAGCGCCUCAGGAAGACGGACUCGACAGUGAGGGACGAAAGCUAGGGUCUCGAACCGGAUUAGAUACCCGGGUAGUCCUAGCUGUAAACAAUGUCCGCUAGGUGUGGCGCAGGCUACGAGCCUGCGCUGUGCCGUAGGGAAGCCGUGAAGCGGACCGCCUGGGAAGUACGUCUGCAAGGAUGAAACUUAA
rnacentral:rRNA from 1 species